rnacentral:rRNA from 1 species
GACGAACGCUGGCGGCGUGCUUAACACAUGCAAGUCGAACGCUGAAGCCCUGGCUUUUGUUGGGUUGGAUGAGUGGCGAACGGGUGAGUAACACGUGAGUAACCUGCCCUCUUCUUUGGGAUAACGCCCGGAAACGGGUGCUAAUACUGGAUAUUCACUGAUCUUCGCAUGGGGGUUGGUGGAAAGGUUUGUUCUGGUGGGGGAUGGGCUCGCGGCCUAUCAGCUUGUUGGUGGGGUGAUGGCCUACCAAGGCUUUGACGGGUAGCCGGCCGGGGAGGGUGACCGGUCACAUUGGGACUGAGAUACGGCCCAGACGCCUACGGGAGGCAGCAGUGGGGAAUAUUGCACAAUGGGCGAAAGCCGGAUGCAGCGACGCCGCGUGAGGGAUGGAGGCCUGCGGGUUGUAAACCUCUUUCGCGCAUGGUCAAGCCGCAACUGUGGGUUGUGGUGAGGGUAGUGGGUAAAGAAGCGCCGGCUAACUACGUG